UCAGCUUUUUUUAGCUCACAAAAGCAAGGGAGUCCUUUGAAAGGUCCUCGGUUUUACCCAAUCAUCGCUCCCUCCCUCGCGUUGUGCAGCAUUAUCAUUCUCUGGCAGUGUAAAUCCUCACAUAUGCCUGCCUCCCUCUUGCCUUCAGCCUCUCCCUCCCUCCCCCUCCCCACCGUGCUGCCAUCGGAUCUGUGAUAAUAUGUGAUCUCCUGGAUACAAUCACACACACACACAAGUACCAGGCACCGCUGCUCAGCUCAGCAAAAUGUCUUUCUCGUAGAAGUGCUCAUCAUCACAGCUUCCGAAUCCUUGACGAUGUGGCCAUGCUUUCCUUUCUGCCUUCUACCUUUUUCUGUCUUUGUCUGCCUGCUCUUCUUACCCACGGGUCAUCUUUGCCCUGCUGUCUGUAGCUGUAUGGACUACCACACCAUAGACUGCCGGGAUCAAGGACUCCCCAGUGUUCCCAAUCCGUUUCCAUUGGAUGUACGGAAACUUCUUAUAGCCGAUAACAACAUCCAGGCGAUACCAGCUGAUUUCUUCAUAUUUUAUGGAGACCUGGUCUAUUUGGACUUCAGGAAUAACUCCCUCACCUCUUUAGAAGAGGGCACUUUUAGCAGUUCUACCAAACUGGUGUAUUUAGAUUUAAGCUACAAUAAUUUAACGCAGCUUGAAGCCGGGAUAUUCAAAUCGGCAGAAAAACUGAUAAAACUCAGCUUGGGAAACAAUAACCUGGUGGAUGUGGACGAGGCUGCUUUUGAGAACCUGGAACAGCUGCAAGUGUUAGAAUUGAACGACAAUAACUUGCAGAGCCUAAACGUGGCAGCCCUCGAAGCGCUUCCCUCCCUGCGGACGAUACGCCUGGAGGGCAACCCGUGGGUCUGUGACUGUGACUUUGCCAAUCUUUUCAGCUGGAUCCAGGACAAUGCCUCUAAGCUCCAGAAAGGUCUCCAUGAAAUCCAGUGUUCCCUGCCUGUAGAAAAUAGAAGAAUCUUUCUGAAUGAAUUAUCUGAGGUUCAUCCCACUGCGAUGCCUCAGAAUGAAGAUCUAGAUUUGUUCUUAGUUUGUAGCAUUUUGUUCAACCCAACAUAGAGCUCUGAAAGCCCUGAUUUUAUUUGGAGCUUAGCACCCCUCAGAACAGCAAGGAACAGACCAAGCUGACACCCACAUAACCCAGUGCAAGCAGAGGAGCAAGGCUUAGUAAAGCUUUAUUUAUGAAGCUGCCAUUCGGGACAUUCCUUCACAUCAAAGUGAUUUUACAAAACAGCCUCAGUGGAACAGCUGAAGCCUGAUGGAGAUGCUGAGCCUGAGACAGUGCUUCAUCCCUAGUGGAGGUCCCUCUGUGCUGGCUUUCAAACCCAUGGGAGCAACUGUGCAGGACUGUUUACUGAUUCAGCAUGUGCAGCCUACACACUGCGUGAGUAAAUGAACUUAGUUUCCAAGUGGCCAGCUGGCACACUGCUAACUUAAGCCCAAAAUAAAGGGCUUGGGAAAGUUUCUGAAUAGAAUAAUUCCUCUUGAAGGAACCAUGGAGUAAUGUUAUUUGUGCUGUAACCUGUUUUUACUGACCUCUAGCUGCAAAUGAAUUGCUUUACUGUGGAGGUAAGUCGUGAUUCAUUGUGGUGAAUCUUCAUGUAUAUCUUCACAUCUUGUCUGCAUCUUAAACAAGAUAUAUCCAGCUUGGUACUAUCUCUGCAGUGUGCAGCAAUGCAAAUCACCAACAACCAUCAGCAGCAGACUGGGAAAAACACUCUUUUGUUCAUGCUGACCAAUUAUCCAUCUACAACUGUAAAUAAUUAGCAGGAGAAACCUGUUGGAUCUUAAACUGACAGAGAGGGUGACAGGUGUUGUGUUGCAAAACAGAGUGCCUGAGUUAUGAGGUGUCUCUCCAGUUCCCAUCAGCUCUCACGGCUCACCAAGAGCUCCAUGAAGACGUGUAACUUGAGGUUAGCAGGCAUUAUGUGCUUUUUGGGGGUUUGUCAAAAAAACAUACGAGUAAACUCUUCAGAAUAGGCUUUUACUGUUGGUUUUGUGGGAAGUGAAAAGUUUAGAGGGAGGUGAGCAGCAAAUAAGGGGUGAAGAUGACAGCUUGGGUUGGAGUUGAUCAGCAGAGCUAAGUUUGCUUCACAGCAGCAUUGUUUUGAUGCAGAGCUGCUUUUUCUCCAAGCAGUAAGUGGGUACUAAUGGUUAGCCCUUCACACCAGGUAUGAAAUGGCAUAGCUUCCUAAAGGGUAGCUCAAACUCAAAGAAAUACUUGCUGGUGGAGUUUUUAAAGCUUGUUGCUCACAGCACCAGUUGCCUAUUGGAAAGCUUUAGUUUCAAUCUGAAAUGCAAUAUGCCGCUUAAUAGGUUGCACAAAAGUCUGAAAGUCAGGAACACCCAUAUAAACAGUGGUGCUGGUGAGAUGUGCUUCAGCUGUUUCACUGAUCUGAGGUCAUUCUUCCAGGCUGACAUCACUGGAAUGUAAGCGGUUGGACUCGACUCUCCCUUUCUUUUUCUUUCAUCACCACCAGCUGAGGAAAGCACAGGAUGGAGGCACUGUGCAGCACCUUGCAGCUCCCCUUAGCUACAGAGAGCAAAAAUAGGAUUGAGUUGAGCAGUAAAGCCAGCUUUGUGACCUUUGCUUAAAAUCUGAAUGUGAUACAGUCUGGCUAUCUGACAUUCCAAGGCAUAGCUUGUGUUGUUGUGUAGGGCUUCUGCUCUUUAAUGAGGGCAGGUGUUGGAAGAUUUUACAGUAGAAAUAAUAUUUAGACUUCAUGGUACAUAACAGAGAAUAAAUAAAAUGAACAUAUUUGACAAACAGUUCUGGUCUAUUUUUGCUCACCAAUUUUUCUCAAAUGGAGUGACUGUCGCUCUCUUAAGAGUAGAUUAGGUUUGCAAUCUGCAGUGGGUUAAAGUAUUACUCUUUAUCCUUUCAAGAUCUGUCUGCAAAUGUGAAUUUGGGUCACAGAAGGAAAUGACCAGAAUAAAUCCCUUAUGGUCAUCUUAGUCAGCUGGGCAAAUGCACAGAGAUGCUGUUAUUUACAAUAUUAACAAACUAUUAUUGAAGAUGGAAAAAUAUUUCAUAGACUCAUGGAAAGCCCGAGGUUGAAAAGCAUCACAACACUCAUCCAGUUCCAACCCCCUGCUGUGUGCAGGUCACCAACCAGCAGCCCAGGCUGCCCAGAGCCACAUCCAGCCUGGCCUUGAAUGCCUGCAGGGAUGGGGCAUCCACAGCCUCCUUGGGCAACCUGUUCCAGUGCCUCACCACCCUCUGGGGGAAAAACUUCCUCCUCAUAUCCAACCUAAACCUCCCCUGUCUCACUUUAAGACCAUUCCCCCUUGUCCCAUCACCAUCCACCCUCAUAAACAGCCAUUCCCCUUCCUGCUUACACUCUCCCUUCAAGUAUUGGAUUGCUUUUCUUGAUAAGAAUGCUCACUUCCAAGAAAGUUUGAGAUCUCAGGAUAAAGUCAAAAAGCAAUCAUAUCCAUACCUGCAUUCGGCCUACCAAGGAGGGAAGUUCUACCUUAAAUCAUCUGGAAUCUUCCAGAUCGUAUUCUAAAGAAUCAGAUGUGGAAGUCCAGGCUUCACAGACGGCAGUUGGAGAGUUUAUCAGUUGUCUGAUAAAAAUAAAGCUCUUUCAUUCAGGAAAAACAGAUUUCCCAAGCUCUCACUUCCUACAGUGAGUGAAAAUCCUACUUCCUGUACUUAAAUCCACCGUUGUGCUCAUGUUACAUUAUACAUUUUAUAAAGGCUAUCCAAAUUGUCAAUCCUGGAGUAUGUAUUUUAAUCAUCAGUCUUGCCCAGCACACCUCAGUGCUCAUUCUGGUCUAUUUACACUUAAUCAGAGCAAUUAAAUUAAAUACACAGAAACAUCCUCAUAAACUCUUACAAAGCUCUUCAUUGCACAAACCAGUACUCUUGAAUAAAGCUUGGUGGAUUCGUAAAUGCUUAAUGCUGAGAGGCAUCGUGCAAGUUUUAUUGGUUUUAUUUGCACAACAGCAAUGAACAGAAGCAUGCAUCCCUUCCCAAUGCUCCUGCAAUGCGCUGGGCUGGAAUAUAAACCUGCUGCAAGGAGUGGAUGAGGGGAAGGUGGGAACAACACGGAGGGGUUCAAACACAGCGUGGUGCAUCAUGCUGAGCAAGAUGCCCGCUUUAAAAAUGCUUCAUGAGGGCGUUUCUUUAUCGGUCCCCUUGCCACGCUGUGGGAGGACUCAGGAGGGCCCGUUGCGAGGGGAUGGAUGUGGUGUAAGGAGCUGCAGGAGGGCGGGAUGUGCGCAGUCAGCAAAGGGAACGCUGUGGCGAAAGGAGCG